GAAAAUGUCAUAAAAGACAUUUUUUAUUUUUUCCAUCAUUGAGAAAAUCAUACAGAGCUGAGGUAGGAACUUCAACAGCAAUAUCAUACAGGGUAACCAUGCACCAGAGCAAUCAUUGUUCUUCGUAAAAUAAGUUUUCAUAAGGACUAAUACAAAAGGCUGUAAGAAAUGGAGUUUCUAGACAAAACUUGCUUUCUAUAUCCUAAUAUUUCUGAGAAUAUUAGAAAGGUUCUAAAAGUGAAACAGAUUGUUUUUUGCAAAAUUACAAUUUAGGACAAGGUCAUGGAGGCAUUACAAUCAGGUGAAAAACUUUUUGCAAUAG
rnacentral:misc_RNA from 1 species